GACGUAGGGUGCGAGCGUUGUCCGGAUUUAUUGGGCGUAAAGAGCUCGUAGGCGGCUCGUCGCGUCGACCGUGAAAACCCGCGGCUUAACCGCGGGCUUGCGGUUGAUACGGGCGGGCUAGAGUUCGGUAGGGGAGACUGGAAUUCCUGGUGUAGCGGUGAAAUGCGCAGAUAUCAGGAGGAACACCGAUGGCGAAGGCAGGUCACCGGGCCGCAACUGACGCUGAGGAGCGAAAGCAUGGGGAGCGAACAGG
rnacentral:rRNA from 1 species